GCGUCGAUGGUCUAGUGGUUAUGACUUGGGCCUUCCAGGCAGAUCAAUAGAAUCUGCGAAGCAAGCCUACAACCCGGGUUCGAAUCCCGGUCGACGCA
rnacentral:tRNA from 2 species